ensembl:snRNA U6 U6 spliceosomal RNA
GCUCUCUUAUGCAGCAUAUAAUAAAAUUAGAAUGAUACAAAUAUCAGCAUGGUCCCUGAACAAAGAUGACAUGUGAUUUGUGAAGCAUUCAGUAUGUUU